CCCAGCCAAGCUGCAGAACGCCCCAUCUCUGUUGUCCCACGGCCCAGAGGUGGGACGGGGAGGACGUCUUUGCGGCUUGCGUGUCCUGUUCUCCCCCCAGCACGUGCACACAAUGCUUGGAGUGCUCUGAUCCUAAGGUUCUUCCUGAUUCCUGGUAUGUAAGACAAGUGAAUCCUAUCCUGAGCCAUUGCACUCUAAGAUGUCCACCAAGUUGAGAGAACAUGCAGCCUUGAUUCCUGUGGUGCACACUCGAGAGGAGCAGGAGGGACUGAGAAUAGUGAAGGUAGAGGAAGAGGAGAACCAUGCUUGGGAGCAGAAGCCUCGCCAAGUAGGGAAUGUGCACCCUUAUCAGGAACUUUUCCGCCAGUGCUUCAGGCAGUUCCGUUACCAGGCGGCCCCUGGACCUCGAGAGGCUCUGAGCCGGCUCCGGGAGCUCUGCCAAAAGUGGCUGCGGCCUGAGAUGCACACCAAGGAGCAGAUCCUGGAGCUGCUGGUGCUGGAGCAGUUCCUGACCAUCUUGCCCGAGGAGCUGCAGGCCAGGGUAUGGGAGUAUCAUCCAGGGAGUGGAGAGGAAGUGGUGACUGUGCUGGAAAAUCUGAAGACAGAACUUGGAGACGAAGGACAACAGGUCCAAGCCAGUGCACAUUACAAACAAGAAGUGCUGUGGAAGGAAGUAGGACCUGUAAGCCUUGCAAAGCAGUCACUUAACAUCCAGCUGAAGUGUGAUCCUUGGGAGCAUUUUCCUCUGCAAGAGAAUGCAGGAGCUGAGACCAGGAAUAUGCCUGGUGAAUUUGCUCCAAAGCAGAUUUCUGCAGAAAGGAAAUCAUUGGUUGCUUUCCAGGAUCCAAAGUGUGGAGAAACUUUUCUAUAUAGGGGUAAAUCAGAACAGCAAAAGGUCAACCCCAUGAGAGUAAAACGACACAAAUGUAAGGAGUGUGGAAAGGCCUUUGCUCAGAGCUCAGGGCUUGUUCGACAUUGGAGAAUUCACACUGGAGAGAAACCUUAUAAAUGCAAUCAAUGUGGAAAAGCAGUCAGCUAUAAAUCAGCCCUUCUUUCACACCAGGAAAUUCAUAAUAAAAUAAAACGCUAUCAGUGUAAUGAAUGUGGGAAAGCCUUCAGUCAAAACACAGGCCUGGUUCUUCAUCAGAGGAUCCAUACUGGGAAAAGACCUUAUGGAUGUAAAGAGUGCGGUAAAUCCUUUAGUCAAAGUUCACACCUUAUUGGACAUCUGAGGAUCCAUACUGGAGAGAAACCCUUCAAAUGUAAUGAGUGCGAGAGGGCCUUCACUCAGAGGUCAGGACUCAUGGAACAUCAGAGAAGUCACACUGGAGAGAAACCGUAUAUGUGUAAGGAAUGUGGGAAAGCUUUCCGAGGGAGCACCAGCCUCACUCAGCACCUGAGGAUCCACACUGGGGAGAAGCCCUAUCAGUGUGAGGAAUGUGGACGAGCCUUCAUUCAGAGGUCAAGCCUUGUUCGUCAUCAGAGGAUCCACAGAGGGCAGAAGUCUGUUUCUGUAUCCUAAUUUGAUACACAUUCCUCCUCCAGUUUAUCUCUAGGAAAAAAUCCCAGAAAUACCUUUGACCAUCCAGCAUGCCAGUUGGACUUGAUCCCAUAUUGGUAGUGGGAUUGAAGAGACAUCAGGUUCAAGCCCAUGCACAAAAGCAGAAAGUAUUCUGGAAGGGGGCAAGAUCUUUAACCAGAGAAGUCAUUGAAUAUCUAGCUCAAGAAUAACCCUUGGGAGCCCACCCCUCUAUAGCAAAGUGGUGA